CUUUUAAGGACAAUUUUACUUCUGUUCCUACUUCUUCUUCCAAUGUUCCUUCUGUUCCCCUUACUGAUGACUUUACUGUCUCUGACUCUCCUAUUUUUCCUUCCCCUGAUUCUCCUGCACCUCCUGGUCCUGAUGCUGAUACUGCUUUCCUUCCUUCUUUCAGUCCAGAUCUUUCUGCCCCUGUCUUACCUCCUUCCCUUCCUAUUUCCAC
rnacentral:lncRNA from 1 species